rnacentral:rRNA from 1 species
UCUACGAUCGGAAUGAGUACAAUUCAAAAACAUUAGCGAGUAACAAUUGGAGGGCAAGUCUGGUGCCAGCAGCCCGUAAUUCCAGCUCCAAUAGUGUAUAUUAAAGUUGUUGCGGUUAAAAAGCUCGCAGUUGGACUUUGGGGUCGAGCGUUACAGACCCUCUCGGUUCUGCCGGGGGGAAUCAGUCUGGAUGUUUCUUCCUCUUUCUCGGAACGUUAACAGGGGUUCAUGGUUUCCAUGUUCUCUUGGUUUCGCAGGAUUUACUUUGAAUAAAUUAGGGUGUUCAAAGCAGGCGCAACUCGCCUUAAAUACAUUAGCAUGGGAUAAUAGAAUAUGACCUUUGGUCUACUUAUUGGUUUCUAAGGCCAAGGUAAUGAUUAAUAGGGAUAGUUGAGGUCGCUCGUAUUCAAUGGUCAGAGGUGAAAUUCUAAGACCCAUUGAGGACGAACAAAUGCGAAGGCAUUCGACAAGGAUGUUUUCAUUAAUCAAGAACGAAAGUUGUGGGAUCGAAGAUGAUUAGAUACCGUCGUAGUCACAACCGUAAACUAUGUCGACUCAGGAUCCGGGGAUGUUACAUGGAUGACUCUCCGGGCACUGUGUGCGAAAGCAUAAGUAUUCUGACUCCGGGGGGAGUAUGGUCGCAAGGCUGAAACUUAAAGGAAUUGACGGAAGGGCACCACCAGGAGUGGAACCUGCGGCUUAAUUUGACUCAACACGGGGAAACUUACCCAGUCCGGACACAACGAGGAUUGACAGAUUGAUAGCUCUUUCUUGAUUUUGUGGAAGCCGGUGCAUGGCCGUUUUUAGUUGGUGGAGUGAUUUGUCUGGUUUAGUCCGAUAACGAACGAGACCAUAAUCUGCUAAAUAGUGUCGUUAACAAGGAGACUUACGGGGCGGUCGGGUUUACUCGGCAGUUUCGUGGGUUUCCACUAAAUUGUUGGCGAAAGAUUUACUUCUUAGAGGGACUCUUGAUGAUGCAAAAAUCAAUGGAAGAAUAUGGCAAAAACAGGUCUGUGAUGCCGCUCGAUGUCUGGGGCUGCACGCGCGUUACACUGAGAUGUUCAACAAGUAUUAUUCAUGACCUGGCCCGAAGGGGUUCAGGUAAUCUCGAAAGCAUUUCGUGAUGGGGAUUGUGCCUUGAAACUAUUGCACAUGAACGAGGAAUUCCUAGUAAGGGUAGGUCAUCAACCUGCCCUGAUUACGUCCCUGCCCUUUGUACACACCGCCCGUCGCUUCUACCGAUCGAAUUGCUCGAUGAGGACUCGGGAUGAGGGGGUAACUCGUAGGCUGAAAGGUCUGCGCGUCCUCUUCAGAACCU